rnacentral:rRNA from 1 species
GAUGAACGCUGGCGGCGUGCUUAACACAUGCAAGUCGAACGAAGCACCUCUCCCGAAGAUUGACACAGCUUGCUGUAGAUUGAUUCAUUUGAGGUGACUGAGUGGCGGACGGGUGAGUAACGCGUGGGUAACCUGCCUCAUAGAGGGGGACAACAGUUGGAAACGACUGCUAAUACCGCAUAGUAAGAAGAAUUCGCAUGUUUUCUUCUUGAAAGAUUUAUCGCUAUGAGAUGGACCCGCGUCUGAUUAGCUAGUUGGUAAGGUAACGGCUUACCAAGGCGACGAUCAGUAGCCGGCUUGAGAGAGUGAACGGCCACAUUGGGACUGAGACACGGCCCAAACUCCUACGGGAGGCAGCAGUGGGGAAUAUUGCACAAUGGGGGAAACCCUGAUGCAGCGACGCCGCGUGAGUGAAGAAGUAUUUCGGUAAGUAAAGCUCUAUCAGCAGGGAAGAUAAUGACGGUACCUGACUAAGAAGCCCCGGCCAACUACGUG